rnacentral:lncRNA from 1 species
AAUACUCCCUCCGUCCCAUUUUAUGUGGCAACAUUUGACCGGGCACGGAGUUUAAGAAAUAGAUAAAGACUUUGAAAUGUUUACCAAAUUGCCCUUAAAAAAAUAGACUUAUUUUUCUCUCUCCUAAUAAAUGUAUUGGAGUACUCUUUUCAAGAUUAAGUGGGACCAACAAGGAUAAAAGAGAAAUUGUACCUUUAAAUACUUACCAAAUAAGGAAAUGUGACAUUCUUUUUGGGACUGACCAAAAAGGAAAUGUUGCCACAUAAAAUGGGACGGAG